AUCACUUCUUGGCCUUUUGGCUAAGAUCAAGUGUAAUAUCUGUUCAUAUUAGAAAAUCUAGCUUCACAAAGAUAGGAUGUUGAAAAUGAAAGCAGGUUUUUCAGUGCUUUUGGGGCAAUCUCAGGAUAUUUCACCCUUACUUUAAUCCAGAGCACGUGGAGAUUUUAGAUGGUCUCAAACAGACUUUUAAGGUCACUCACU
ensembl:snRNA U2 U2 spliceosomal RNA